GAUGAACGCUGGCGGCGUGCUUAACACAUGCAAGUCGAACGGAAAGGCCCAAGCUUGCUUGGGUACUCGAGUGGCGAACGGGUGAGUAACACGUGGGUGAUCUGCCCUGCACUUCGGGAUAAGCCUGGGAAACUGGGUCUAAUACCGGAUAGGACCACUUCUUGGAUGUUGUGGUGGACAGUUUUUUCGGUGUGGGAUGAGCUCGCGGCCUAUCAGCUUGUUGGUGUGGUAAUGGCCUACCAAGGCGUCGACGGGUAGCCGGCCUGAGAGGGUGUACGGCCACAUUGGGACUGAGAUACGGACCAGAUUCCUACGGGAGGCAGCAGUGGGGAAUAUUGCACAAUGGGCGCAAGCCUGAUGCAGCGACGCCGCGUGGGGGAUGACGGCCUUCGGGUUGUAAACUCCUUUCGCUAGGGACGAAGCGUUUUGUGACGGUACCUGGAGAAGAAGCACCGGCUAACUACGUG
rnacentral:rRNA from 1 species